CCUACGGGGGGCUGCAGUGAGGAAUAUUGGUCAAUGGCCGGAAGGCUGAACCAGCCAAGCCGCGUGAAGGACGAAGGUGCCAAGCAUUGUAAACUUCUUUUGUCAAGGGACAAAAUCAGGCUCGAGAGUCUGACAGAGGGUACCUGAAGAAAAAGCAUCGGCUAACUCCGUGUCAGCAGCCGCGGUAAUACGGAGGAUGCGAGCGUUAUCCGGAUUUAUGGGGUUUAAAGGGUGGGUAGGCGGGCUGUUAAGUCCGCGGUAAAAGCCCGGGGCUCAACCCCGGCAGGCCGUUGAAACUGGCUGUCUUGAGAUGUCGAGAGGUAGGCGGAAUGCGCAGUGUAGCGGUGAAAUGCUUAGAUAUUGCGCAGAACUCCGAUUGCGAAGGCAGCAUACCGGCGGCGAUCUGACGCUGAGGCACGAAAGCGUGGGUAUCGAACAGGAUUAGAUACCCCAGUAGUC
rnacentral:rRNA from 1 species